rfam:Neotoma lepida isolate 417 scaffold_7552, whole genome shotgun sequence.
GGACAGGAGGGUGAUUGGUCACCCAAAGAUUGACCCGCUUGAUGUGACUCAUUUGAUUGGUUCAGGGGGUUGCCCCUCCCUCAGUCACCACUCCACAUGCAUCCCUCCUGAAACUGUGUGCUUGGGAGGAUGGACUUCCCCAAAGAUAAAGGAGAUAGAGGAGGAGGAAUCCUGAGUCAAGGGCACAUGAGUAACCAUGCUCCCCUGCUGUUGAUAGAACUCCAAAGGAGCUUUCAAGGUCCCUUUGGAGGAGGAUGUAAGUGGGGCUUCUAGGACUCCAGAUGCAUUUAAAUGAGGUGCUGCAUGUGGCAAGCUGCCUUUCUUG